GAUUAACGCUGGCGGCAUGCCUAAUACAUGCAAGUCGAACGGAAGCAGCAAUGCUUUAGUGGCGAACGGGUGAGUAACACGUAGGGAACCUACCUAUACGACGAGGAUAACUACUGGAAACGGUAGCUAAAACUGGAUAGGAUCAAUUGAGGCAUCUUGAUUGAUUUAAAGAUCCUUCGGGAUUACGUAGAGAUGGCCCUGCGGCGCAUUAGCUAGUUGGUGAGGUAACGGCCCACCAAGGCGACGAUGCGUAGCUGAGCUGAGAGGCUAAACAGCCACACUGGGACUGAGACACGGCCCAGACUCCUACGGGAGGCAGCAGUAGGGAAUUUUCGGCAAUGGGGGAAACCCUGACCGAGCAAUGCCGCGUGAACGAUGAAGGUCUUCGGAUUGUAAAGUUCUGUGAUUGGGGAAGAAUGGUAUUCUUAGGGAAUGAGGAGUACAUGACGGUACCCGAUUAGAAAGCCCCGGCUAACUAUGUGCCAGCAGCCGCGGUAAUUAC
rnacentral:rRNA from 1 species